UAGGGAAUCUUCCGCAAUGGGCGAAAGCCUGACGGAGCAACGCCGCGUGAGUGAUGAAGGUCUUCGGAUCGUAAAACUCUGUUAUUAGGGAAGAACAAAUUUGUAAGUAACUAUGCACGUCUUGACGGUACCUAAUCAGAAAGCCACGGCUAACUACGUGCCAGCAGCCGCGGUAAUACGUAGGUGGCAAGCGUUAUCCGGAAUUAUUGGGCGUAAAGCGCGCGUAGGCGGUUUUUUAAGUCUGAUGUGAAAGCCCACGGCUCAACCGUGGAGGGUCAUUGGAAACUGGAAAACUUGAGUGCAGAAGAGGAAAGUGGAAUUCCAUGUGUAGCGGUGAAAUGCGCAGAGAUAUGGAGGAACACCAGUGGCGAAGGCGACUUUCUGGUCUGUAACUGACGCUGAUGUGCGAAAGCGUGGGGAUCAAACAGG
rnacentral:rRNA from 1 species